rnacentral:rRNA from 1 species
AGCAGCAAGAUAUAGCAAUGCUCGUAAGGUGACUAGUANUGAUCUUAACUAAUAUAAGAUAAGGUAAGAGAAAUAUGUAUUAUCUUACUAUUAGUGUCGCUAAUUUGUUCCCAGANGNUCGGUAAGNCCUUAGNGCAACGUUAAUCGUCAUAUCAGGCGUAAAGGUGUGUAGCGCUUUAAAANAUAUUUUAAUACAAAUAAUUAUAUAAAAUAAAAGUAGAAUCUAAAAGAGGUAAGUAACACAUAAUUAAUUGGGCUGCACUUAUAAUAAUGUGGAGUACUAAAGGUUAAAGCUAUUUAUCUACUUAAGAUUGCGCUCAGAAACGAAGGGGAGAAUAAGAACUUAGAUUAGAGCCUAAUUAUCUCUCUCAGUCAACGAUGAAUGGUAGUUAUUAAAAAAUUAAAUAUAAUAAUCUAAUUAUUAUAUAGAUAUUAGUGACGAGGUUAACACGAUGACCAUUCCGCCUUGUUAGUAAGACUGCAAAGUUGAAAACAAAAAAAUUANUCNGUCUUGAAGCAAACGAAGUGANGCAU